AUGAAAUGUUAAGACUCCAUGUAACUCAAACAUUUCCGCAAUGAGCGGGAGUUCUAAAUUUAAUAAUUGAAAUUGUCAGUGGAACCAGUGGACAAGAGUUGGUUUGUGGUUGACAAACUUAUCCGUUUGAUCUUUACUUGAACAGUUCCAGUGUGUGGAUGGGUACUGAUGAAGUGUGCGCAUUUAUUUUGAGAAGCCUGCUUGUUCGCAUAGAUUUUAACGACAUGAACAUUGUGGUAAGGUUAGAGAGUAAUGCGAAUGUAGGAGCUUAUAUUAGAAAUGACACAAACACGUAAAUAGAAGUAAUCUAUAUAUGAUAUUACUCAUGGACUACAAGCAAAGAAGUACAAUACAUGGAGUAAGUGAUGAAAUGAGCAUUCCUCACUACUACUGCUUGACUGAUGGAACAUGAUGCACGAGAUAGCAUAAGUAGUAGUAGGAAGCAGCUCUUAUUUGUGGCGUCGGUAUACAUCAUACUAGGUAGAUGGUUCAAUUGGCAUGGAUGGGUGGUGGAGCCUUGAAGUGCUUGUGAUGGGGAGCCCACGGCUUCUUCUCAGGAGUUGGUGGCUUCUUGUAUGGAGUUGAUGGAGGUGUUUCUACUGGAGGGUGGCCAGGGUAGUGACCCUGGGGUGGUGAAGGUUCUUUUGUCGGUGGUGGCCUCACUAUUAUUGGCGGUAGAGUUGGUGGCUUGGGCGUUGGCGGUGGUCUCACUACUCUUGGGGGUAGAGUUGGUGUCUUGUGUUUUGGUGGUGGAGGUGGCUUAACAGGAGUUGGUGGCUUGUAUUCUGGGGGUGGUUUCUCCACCGGAGGUGGCUUAUAAACUGGAGUUGGUGGCUUGUAUUCUGGGGGUGGCUUCUCCACUGGUGGUGGCCUGUAAACAGGGGUUGGUGGCUUAUAUUCUGGGGGAGGCUUCUCCACUGGAGGCGACUUAUAAACAGGGGUUGGUGGCUUGUAUUCCGGGGGUGGCUUCUCUACGGGAGGUGGCCUGUAAACAGGGGUUGGUGGCUUCUCCACCGGAGGUGGCUUAUAAACGGGGGUUGGUGGCUUGUAUUCUGGGGGUGGUUUCCCCAGUGGUGGAGACUUGUAAACAGGAAGAGGUGGUUUGUGCUCAUAUGGGGGUGGCUUGUGGUCAUUAGCAAGUGAGGGAGUGGUGAGGACCACCAAUCCAAGGAACAACACGAGUGAGCAAGCAGAAGACAUGUUUGGGCUCUGGUGAUGCACAAGUAGAAGAAAUGGGAACCAUUUAUAAUGCUUCGAGACCUUGGUUAGCACCAAAAUAUGUCAAAAUCUUGAUUACUUCAUUUCAUACAUAGAUUUAAAAUUAUUUCAAUCAACCAUGAUCCUUAAUUUUCUGGGUGGUCCAUAAAUGUAAUGGGGUCAAUUUGGGACCUAACAAGCUGAGAAGUUUGACAAUGCUGCAAGGCUUCAUCCGAAAGUCCGGGGAAGAAUAUUAGGAGUUACACUCCGUUUCCUUUUUUGGGUGCAUUUUUCUCCUUUAACAUUCUAUUCCCUUUUACAUUAGCAUUUGAUCUUAGCUCAUUUCAAGUACAAGUUUCUUGAACCCUAUACCAUUGUCAAAGUUGAGUAACCAUCUCUACUUUGCUCAAGAAACAUAAAAGACAAUGACAAUAAAGAAAAAGGAGAGAGACCAUACGUGACUUGGUUUAUAGGUGGCUUUGUGUUGACAUUUGAGUAUGGAAGCCGACAUGCAUCUUAGCUUCGAUUUUAAUUAAAUUUGUACAUUAGUGUCUGUGUCAUUCAUUUUGGUAUAAAAGGUCUCUUGAUUUCGUAAGUUUGGUAAGAACCGUUGAAAAUAGCAGUAGCAGCACAUGGUCCACUUUCUUUCACAAAAUAAUUUUAAAAGUUUAGAAGCAUAGGAGGUAACAUUAGUGGCCUUGUGGCUCAGCCACGAGUACUAUGUGGUGCUCGAGAAAUUGAGUUUAAUUUCCUUCCGAUAGUUCAUGAUAAGGUCCGUCACUGUCCUGAGACAGAUUGCGUUUUUUCUUUUUUCCUUUUUUAGUGUUUUAUUGACUAGCUAGGUGUGACUUUUCCUACUUUAAGGCACGAGGCAGAAAAGAAACUGGGAUUUAGUGCUUAAGAAGGCAAAUUUAAUUCGAUUUGGAUCUAAAAUUUGCCAGCAACAUGAGAUUUUCCAGCCUAUCGUUGCUCCACAUAUAGACAAGGCACUUGUAGAAGUGGCUUGUUUGUAGCCAUUCCCGAUAUUUGGACUCACUUGAUUCACCGGACACUUUGAUAAAAUUUAAUAUUUAUUAUUUAAUAAUUUAAAUUGAUUUAAAAUUAAAUUAUACCGAAGUUGUGAUUUAAAAAUUAUUAUUUAAUUCUUACUUUUAAAUAUGAAGAUUAUUUGAUAAAAAUAAUUUAAAAUUUAUUAUAAAUUAUCAAAUUAACAUAUUUAUCCUUAUAAAUUAUAAUUAAAACAGAAAAGGUCAAAUGAUUUGAGUAUCCAUAGAUGUGGUAAAAUAAUAAAAAAGAUUAUAAAAACAAUUAUGAUAAAUAAAGAUAAAAAGUAAAAUGAAUAUGUGAAUUUAAAGAAUAAAUUAAUUAUUUUUAUUUAUUACUUAAAAUUAUUUUUGACUUUAAAUUAUAUUAUUAAAUUAUUUUACCAAACAUACUUAAUUUAGUUAAUAAUUUAAAUUUAAUUUAAGUUAUUAAAUUGAUUCACCAAAUACCCACUUAAUCAAAGACUGAAGUAUACAUUAUUUGGCCAAAUGCAGCUAUUGAAAUUUAACUUUUUCCAAACUUAUUCAUUUUGUGGAAAUAUUUUUAGAAAUGAUUUUAAAAAUGCACUAUUCUGUGUGUUGAUUUUAUAUUUUGGCAUUAAUCCAACAUAGAAAACGGUUCUUAUUUUCGCUGUUAAAUAGGUACCAGAUCCUUAAUUAGUGCCGUGAAUCCGGCAGCUUCCAAUGAGUAAUUUGGACUUGGGUAUUGACAAUGUGUGGCCAUGCUUCUACUAUUUUAUUAUUCUUGAAACAUAUAUGAUAUAUUGGACUUUAUACAGGGAAAAAAAAAAAAAAAAGUCUUCACCAAAAAUGAUUCCUCCUAAAAAAUAGACUCCACAAACUAGGUUUAACAGGAAAAUGAUUCUAAUCUAGUAGUUUCCAGCCACAUGAGCAUUUACGUAACAAUAGUAUAGUUGAUAACGACUUUUAUUUUAUUUAUUUUUAAAUAGUUAAAGGGAUAAUUUUUGAGCUUAAAUUUUAUUUUUUUAUUUAGAAACAUUUUACUUUAUUUUUUAAUCAUAAUUCUAUUAUAUUAAUGUUUUAUUUUCUAUUUUUUAAUAUAUAAGGAGAUACUAAAUUUAUGUGAUUAUUUUUUAAAAAUUUAGUAUAUGAAAUUAAAUAAUUGGAUAUAUAUACAUAUAUCAUAUAAUGUUUUUUAAGUGUGAUUUUUGAACUUUUUAGUCAUUUUAUAAGUUUAAGCUUUUGAUUUUUUUUUUUAAACUUUGGUAUUUUUUAUUUUAUAUAAAACUAUUUUGAUUUAAUUUUAUUAAAAAAUAUUGGUAUUAUAAAUUAUUGUAUUAAUUAUUUUUUUAUAUUAUAAUGUAACUGGUAUAUACUAAAAAAUGUAUGCAAGUUCAAUUUAAGUUUCAAAUUAAAAAAUUUCAUUUAAAUAUUUAAUAACUUGUUCAUAAUAAAAAAUUAAACAACAUAAUACAAAUGAAAAGAAACAUAAAAGAAAAAGGAAAAAAUGGUCCUCUCUGUGUGUCACAUUACUAGGUCAUCCUCUUUUUCUAUGACCCUUACAAUAGAAUGGCAUAUUUGUCAAAUCUACUUAUGAAAGUUGGAAUGUUUCUACAUGUGUAGGGUCCAUUGGAACUAAUGGAGGAAAGGCUUAACGUCUAUGUAAAUCACAACGUUGCCUAGGUGGGCAUAGAUCUAGUUGUGUAACAUGAGAUGGUGUGAGAGUACAAUAUAUGCAUUGUAGUCUCUAUGGGAAGAGAGAUAGGUAAUGGUAGGGUGGUAGACGGUAGGGUGAUCUCUAAUAUAAUGACAUUUGAUGUGGUGGCUUCUAAGAGAGGAGAUAUAAGAGAUGGUAGAAUGACAUUUGGUGUAAUGGUCUCUAGUGCAAUGACAUGUGAUAUGGUGACCUAUAAAGAAGAGAUAUAGGUGAUGGUGAAGUGGUAUGUGGUGUAGUGACCUUUGAGAUAGAAAAUAGAGGUAAUGGUAGGUUGGCAGGUGGAGUGGUCUUUGGUGUAGUGACAUCAAUUAUAAAUGUCUCCAAGGGAGGAAAUAAAGGUGAUGGUAGGUAGUAAAUGUUGAGGUGGUCUUUGAUAUGUUAUGCUCUAAGAGAGAAGGUAUAGGUAAUGAUAAUAGGGAAUUUGACAUAGUGGUGUUGGAAAUAAAAAGUGAAAGUGACCGUAGAGGUGAAAGGGCAAGUGUAAAAGCCUCAAGUACGAAUGGAGUAAUUAAUGUGGAUGGUGCUAACAUAGUCUUAGGUGGAUACACAAAUAGUCAUAGUCAUCAACUAGCUUGCCCACCAUCUGUCUUUCUGCUAGUGAUAGGUUACAUCUUAAUAGUAAUGGCCAACAUAAGUGGUGUGGAUCCGAUUUUUUUACGUGUGUCCCCACUCAAUCGACAAGACUUAUUUUUUAUUAGUGAAAAAUUAAUUUUGGAAAAGUUGGAGUCACCACUUAUUUUAUUUUAUUUUAAAAAGGAAAGUAAAACAAGAAAGAGAACUCUAAAGAAGUGACUUCAUAGUUUUGGAAAAGUUAGUCUUAAAAAAUCCAAGUCUUGGUCCGGAGAUCAGGUUACUUAUUGGGAAGAUACCUCUAAGAGGUAAUACCCCUCUAAACCCUAAAGAAGUCUCUAAUGACUAAGUUGAGGAGAAUGUGGUAAUUAAUUAAUUGAUUGAGGGUACCUAGGUAGACUAAGGUGAUUUCAGAAUUAACAUACCAAGCUAGAAAGUCCAAUCAUGAUCAUAAAAGAGAGUCAAAGUAUGUACCUGAACUGCUUCUCAAACGCUAUCAUAAAACAUCAAAGUUAGUAUAGAAAUAUAACACAUAAUAUUUGUUUUAUCCAAGCAAAUAAAGCAUACAUCUAAGCACCCAAGAAUCACAUCAAGUAUGGAUAUAGUCAUCAAUAGCAUACGUGUCCAUAGAACUAUCGAAAGUAAAUGUGGAGGAGCGUAUCUGGACAACAUAGAUAACUUAUAAUGUGCUUCCACAAGACAUGGGGGUUAGAUAAAAGUUAUAAUAAUAAUUAGUAAAUGAAAGAAUUCUAGCAUGUUUGGUAUCUAAAUAACAUAGCAAAAAUGAACAAGAGUACACGAAAACAUCAAUUAUCACACGAGUCAUAUUGGCUAGUAUUUAAUCAAUAAACCAACAAUAAAUGACUAUAAACAUAUAAAAUGACAUAUUCAAAGAGACCCAAACAUAAAGAGCCUAGAACACAAGCUUACACUAAAUUUAGAAAACUAAAACAUGGAAUUUUAAAAGCAUAAAUUAGCAAACAAAUUGAUGGAAACUAAAUUUAGAUAACUUAAGAAUAUUUUUCUUAUCCUUCAAUUUAAAUCAGUAAGCCAACAAUAAAAAAUUAUAGAAACAUGGAAUAUCAAGAUCAAUGGGAUACCUAAACUAUAAUUUUUAAAAGAAAAUAAACUAAGCAUAAUAUCUACAAAGCAACUAAACUAACAUUUUUUUAAAAAUAAAUUAAACAUGACAUUAAUGGAGUAACCAAACUAAAUUAAAGUAAACUAAAAACAUUUAUGAAUUUUCAAACAUGGAAUCAGCUUUCUUAGUAAAUUAAAAUUAUUAAAAUAAAAUCUAAGCUUAAAAAUGAAUUAAAUACUAACUAAAGCAAAUCUAAAACCAAAUAUUUAACACAUAGGAUCAAUUAUAUUAACAAACUAAAAUUUUAUAAGAACACUUAAACCUAAAGUUGAAUUAAAAACUAACCAAUUUUUAAAACUAGAUCUUUAACCCAUAGGAUCAAUUAUAUUAACAAAUAAAUAAUAAAUAAUAAAUAAAUAAAACUCAAACCUAAAGAUGAACUAGAAAUGUACCAAAGUAAAUUCAAAACAAGAUCUUUAACACAUUAGAUCAAUUAUAUUGACUAACUAAAAAAAAAAAAAAAAAACACUCAAACCUGAAACGAUGUAUUAGAAACUAACCAAAGCAAAUUUAAAAUAGAGUCUUUAACACAUAGGAUCAAUUAUAAUCACUAACUUAAAUUACAAUUUUUGAAACAUGAACUAAUUAGUGUUGGAUUAAUUAAACUAAUUAACUAAAAAAAACUAUAAACUAGAAUACGGUGAAUCAAGAAUUCAAAUCAACAAACAUAAAAUAUGGGUACAAUGAAAUGAAAAUCUAUUAAACUAAUAAGACGGAAAUAUGACAAACUCAUGAACCCACAUUUUGAUCAACUAGGAAAUAGAAAUUAAUAGACCUGUAGCAUGGAUACAAUGAAAUGAGAUCAGUUAAAUUUAUUUGCCGAAAUUCUAAAAAACACAUACACUCAAAUAAGAUCUAAAUCUAAGACCAAGCAAAACUCAAACUUUCUCAAUCUAAUGCAAUGAAUCAAAACUAAAAUUAAAUAGAAAUCAAACCAUUUUUUUUUUAUCUAAUAUAAUAAAUCAAAGCUAAAACUAAACAAAAUCGAAUUUUCUUAAUUUAAUAUGAUGAGUCAAAGCUAAAAUUGAACAAAGUUCAAACCUUUAUAUAAUGGAUCAAAGUUAAAUCUAAAUGAAAUCCAUACUUCCACAAUUUGAUAUAACAAAUCAAAAAUAAAACUAGAUAAAAAAAAAGUCAAAGCCUUUCAACUUGACAUAGUGAAUCCAAACUGAAACGAAACAAAAUUUUAACUUUUCCAAUGAAACCCAAUAUAGAAAAAAUUAGCUUACCUUCUUUAGAAUAUAUGUAUGGGCCAUAAAGAAGUCACCUUGGUGCAUGUGUUCCUCACUUUGACGCCAAUGGACGACUUUCUAUGGUAGCAAAUGGAGAUCCUUUUUGGUGGUAACUUGCGUGUGGAAACCUAUGGUACAACCAAUGUCAUCUUUUAUUGUGCGUGUGGACCAAUUUCUUCUCGAGAACUCAUGUGUGUUGUGCUCAAAAUAUGUUGCCUGUGAGAAUCUAUUGGUAUACCCCACAUAUGGUUUCCUUGAGAGAAUCUGUGGUUGUGUGUGGGCGUUUUCUUCAUGACAGCAUGUGGAUGUUCCCAUCUAUGGUAGAUUGGUUGUGAUGCUUUAGUGCAUGGUCUCCAUAGGAAUAGUGUGUUAUGGAAAUUUGGUUUUUUUAUUGGUGCAUGUUGUCUAGACUUUCCCAUAUGCGUGGACUGUGUGUUCAUGCUUUUCUUUUCGGAUGGUCGCCUGUGUUAAUGUGUGGCGGUGUCUACAAUGAAAGAUACAACCCUUUCUCUCCUUCUGCGUGAUAGAAAAGUCAAUCCCCCAUGGUGCGACUAUGUUCCCUCGUCCUUUUUGAAAAAUUUUGGUGUUUUCCCCCCAAAAAAUCCCCUCCAAAAAUCUAAUUAUAAAUGUCUGCUUUGGCCUAAUGUGUGUGCUACUUUUUUUUUCCUUCUUUUUAUGGUUGUGCGUGCUUUUCUUGAUACGUGGCUUAUUUCUUAAGGAUAUGAUUCGCUCCCAAUUGGUGUCUCAGCUGAUUCAUGUCCUUUCAAUGGUCCCUGACAGUGGUGCCAUUUGAUUCGUGUCCAGCUGGUGUCCCUUGAUUGUGGUCCUCAGAAGGGAGUAAUCAAUAAAAUUUAUAACCUAUUACACCAUGUAUUAGGAUAGCCUUAGCUAGCAUAGCAUAGUGGCUCUAGGGUCGUUUAUUGGGAUGAGUUUUCACUUCACAAUUGAUAUUAAUUCAAGAGCUGAAUUGGUGCCUUUUCAUUUCAAGGUUAGCUUUAAAAGAAAACAUAAUCUUUGGUGGAAAAAGGUUUGGUUUUAAACUAACCAAAAAUAGUAACUGAUUUUACUUACAAAGAAAAGUGUUCUUUGGAGUUUAGAUCACUAGGCUCAGGUUCCUCAUACAAAAAGGAGAGUUCCGAUCAUUUGUUUCUUUUCCUCGCAUUAGAGAAUUAACAUAUAGUUAAUUCUCUAACCGGUGCGGUACAUAUGCUUCCCAUUAAUGGGUUCAAACACUAAAUACCUCUCACUGAUGCACCUUGCAAUGGCUCGUGCCUCUCACCUAGCAUUUAUCAUUCAAGGUGAUCUUUAACCUUGGAUUACCCAUCAAAAGCUCGCAAGAGAUAACUAAAGGAUGUCUCCUUAGAGUCCAAAAGCUUACCAAGUGUUGGUUAUUCUAGAAAAUCCUACCUUCAAACCACCUCCCAAAGGCUCGCAAGAGAUAAACAAGUGCAUCUCAAUGGAUGAAGAUCACUUGCCUUACCAAGUUUUGGCCCAGAUGAUUUAAUGACAUUUUAAGUUAACUAAAAAGAUAAAAACCAUUAACGGGUCACACUUUCUCUUCAUUAAAAACUAAAACAACAAAACUUCCAAUUUAUGCAUGAGGAAACUUACCUGGCUUUCUUCACUUCAAGAGAUGAAGAGCCUAGCCACUCAUCAUUUGAGGAAAAAUCCUCAGAGUUUGAUUUGCUAGAAAUAAAAAUAAUGAGAAAACAAAAAUAUAUAUAUGAAAAACAGAGCAAGUUCUCUGUAAUAUAUUUUUCUUCCUUAUACAAAAGGUUGUCUCUAAGAACAAGUUCCCGAGAUCUAUCUGAUUGUAAAUAAAAUUACAACUAUAUAUAAGAGGUUAUUCACCCCUUUGUUCUUUCUUAAAGACUAAGGAAUCCUAUGAUAGGUGGGUUACAAGGAGAGUUUGGGGAUUUAGACAUCAAAUAUCUAAAGCAAAAUAUCUCAAGAUGUUAGUCGGAAAUAUCAGGAAGCUUCAGGAGAACACCGCGACACUGUAUACUGAGAGAAAAACUCUCCGGGUAAGCUCUAUCAAAGGAUCCAGACAUGUCUGACUGGGAAAGUUGAAACGUCCUUCUCUCCCAUCCGGAUGUGAGAUAUCCGGAGAAAGUGAAAUGUCGGUCGGACAGAAUUCUUUCCCCGGGUGGAAUGAGUUGUGUUGCGCGUCGCAAGGGGGACCGUCUGCGUGUACAAGUUGUAGGGACCCCUCUCCCGGAUGACACCGAGCGCGUAAGGCUAUCCGGAUCAACUCCAUUCGGAUUCCCCAAGAGGACAUGUGGCGUGCUCCCCUAUCAGGACUCCCUUAGGGAGAAGCACACGACACUCGUGAACAUCAUACCCGGACGAUAGCAUGUCCUAUCCGGAUGUGUUGUCCGGAUCAUUGACUAAAGUGAGCAAGCCUUGCUACGUCAUUCGGACAGCUUGCCACAUACCAUGUUCCGUCGCCAUCUGAUGGUGUGUCCGAACGCCUUGUCCGGACAUCUUUUGCUCCUUGCAUUCCGGAUUUGCUUAUGACAAAGGACUUCAAAGCUUCGGUUCUUCAUGUUUCUGAGCUUUCCAUUGCUUUGCCAUGGAUUCCAAAGAACUCUCCUUAAUCACGGAUUGCUUUGGUGAUCAAAAAGUUAUCAAAACACAAAAACUUAACAUAGUUUGAUUAGAAUUGAUUGCAAGGGUUCUUAAUAUGUUAAUUGGGUUAAAAGGUGAUAACUACUACUCAAAAGUGUUUAUAAGAAUUAAUUACAAGCUAUGAAAUAACACUUUUUGAGUAGUAAUCAGGAUACAUCCUAGUUUUUCAUGGAAUUGAUAGUGGGUUGUUGUGCAUGAAUGCCACCAUUUCAACUAUGCUGUUGUUAUUUUUAAAAAAAAUAUGGAUUAUGCGCGAGUGGCAAUUCUCCACUAUGGAAAGUGGAUUGCUCCUUCAACCCAUGCAUGGCUACGUAUUCCUAUGUCUUUCUACUUGUGUUUGAUCCUCCAAAAAAAAUUUCGGUUUAGUGCUAGUAGAUUUUAAGUGGUGGAUCCCCAUUUUUUGAAAAUGAAGUGGCAGCCUCCCAUUUCAAGACAAAAUGGUAGCCUGCCUUUAAUCUUUGGAGAAAAAUCUGUGCAUGACCUUUUUUUUUCCCAAAAAAUCCGUGCAUGGUGUCCUUUAAUAUUUGGAGAAAAAUCUAUGUUGGAUCUUUUCUUUUCUAGAAACAUUUGUGUGGUCUUUUUUGUUAGCCCAAGGGUUCUUCUAAUCAAGUUUUGAUGAUAACAAACCAUGGUUAAGUGACUAAUUGGUUUAAUGAUUAAGAAUCUCAAACAUAAAAUCGAAAAUUCAUCAAAGGACCAAAUGGAUACAAGAUCGAGACGCUUGGAAGACUUGUAAUCAUAGGAAACUAAUGUAAGAUGAAUGCAUGAGUGCACUUAGGAUUUUCACACGUUUCAUGCAACUUAGAAAACCCAGUUUAUUCUUUAAAACUUCAUCCCAGUUUAUUCUUUUUAUGGUUGUGUGUGCUUUCCUUGAUACGUGGCUUAUUUAUUAAGGAUACAUCCCAGUUUUUCAUGGAAUUGACAGUGGGUUGUUGUGUGUGAAUGCCACCAUUUCAACUGUGCUGUUGUUAUUUAAAAAAAAAAAAAAUGGAUUGUGCGCGAGUGGCAAUUCUCCACUAUGGAAAGUGGAUUGCUCCUUCAACCCAUGCAUGGCUACGUAUUCCUAUGUCUUUCUGCUUGUGUGUGAUCCUCCAAAAAAAAUUUUGGUUUAGUGCUAGUAGAUUUUAAGUGGUGGAUCCCCUUUUUUUGAAAACUAAGUGGCAGCCUCCCAUUUCAAAACGAAGUGGUAGCCUGCCUUUAGUCUUUGGAGAAAAAUCUGUGCAUGACUUUUUUUUUCCCAAAAAAUCCAUGCAUGGUGUCCUUUAAUAUUUGGAGAAAAAUCUAUGUGGGAUCUUUUAUUUUCUAGAAAAAUUUGUGUGGUCUUUUUUGUUAGCCCAAGGGUUCUCCUAAUCAGGUUUUGAUGAUAACAAAUCAUGGUUAAGUGACUAAUUGGUUUAAUGAUUAAGAAUCUCAAACAUAAACUCGAAAAUUCAUCAAAUGACCAAAUGGAUACAAGAUCGAGACGCUUGGAAGACUUGUGAUCAUAGGAAACUAAUGUAAGAUGAAUGCAUGAGUGCACUUAGGAUUUUCACACGUUUCAUGCAAUUUAGAAAACCCAGUUUAUUCUUUAAAACUUCAAUUUCAUUAAAACCCGAGUUUUUAACUAAUGUACCUUAGGCAAAAUGUUUUAUAAUUGGCUUAAUAAUUCACCUAAAUACAUUUUCUAAGUGUUAGAAAAGAAAGGAAUUAAAAAAAGGUUUUCGGGGCAAAAAAGGCUCAACCGGUCGAGGCUAUGGUCAACCGGCUCAACCGGUUGAGGAACCAAUCGAUCGGUUGUGCUUGUCCGAUCGAAGACCAAUCGAGGGAUGCCAAAAAAUUUCUCUCUCUCCUAGUGGCCUUCUCUUCCCGGUCGAGGUUCGGUCUAGGCAACGGUAACAUGUCAAGCAUUAAAUGCUCCGACGACUAGUGAAUCGGUCGACCCCUAGCCCGAUCGGACGAGGUUGCCUUUUGCUGUUUUUGACUCCCGAGCUUAGAAACCUAUAAAUUGAGAGCUCCACUUCAUUUAUUGAUAAAAGAGAACACUUGCAUUCAAUAGUCUACCUACCUUUUCUUGAUCAAAAAGCUCUCAUUUCCUUCAUAGUGCAUUAAAUCAUCACUUGCAUAUCCUUUAGUGCACUAUUGUGUGUCAUCCUAGCUUUGUUUUGUAUUUGAGCUAUCCUUAAGCUAGGUUGAGGGAUUAUUUCUUAUAAAAAUCUGAGUGUUAAAGCCUUCAAGAGAUUUGAAUCUUGAAGAGAUUGUGUAAGAGCCCAUUGGAGCCGGAGUCCAAGUGUAAGAAGAUUGGAAGCUUGGUUGAAGCUUCAAGUUAGUGGAACCCUCACUCGGUUAGGAGGUUGAGGAGAGUGGACGUAGGUAAGGAAGUGUCGAACCAUUAUAAACCCGAGUUUGAAUUCUCUAACUCUAUCUCUUUAUUUUGCUUAUAUUGUGUUUGAAUUUGUUGUGAUUGAAAAGAUUUUAAAAACCUAAUUCACCCUCCCCCCUUUUGGGUUUUUUUUUCUUAAUUAAGCAUAACCUUUGUUUUCUAAUUUUCUUUUUAGGAAAAUCCAUGCGUGGUAUGUCCAAACUCUCCAAGUGGCAGUCUGCCUUCUUCUAAAAAAUUUGUUUCUAUUUCUUUAUUCGACUACCUUCCAUGUCUUCCUAAUGAGUGCUUGUGCUCAAUGGUCAAUCCCUGGUGGUUGCCUCCUUUUCCCAUAUAUACGUGUUGCAAAAUCAACAUCCCACUAUAUGUGGGUUGCCUCUAUGGCAAGUUCACAUUUCCCACAUGAAACCUAUGAGUUUCCACCAAAAAUUGCCAUGAAAAAGUCUUUAUAUGCAUCUCAUGCAAUAAAAAGUCAAGCCAAUACUCAUCUUAUCUCGAAAAAUAAGUAACCAAAAUCAAGAUCAUGCCUAAGUGAACUAUGCCAAAAGAAGUGUCCAAGUGACCUAUUAUGAAAAAAGUGCCUAAGUGACCUAAGGUGAAUGUGUGUAAGCUGGAAGGUGUCUAGGAUGUUUAGGACAAUGCCUAAGCCUAAAAUAGGGUUGCCAAGGGUCACAAUGGGGUUAGAUAAAUCUCUCAAUCAGAGUCUCCAAGGUGGCUCAUAAAAGAUAAGCUACACGAGUAAUGAUGGGCCACCAGGGAAUUAUUGUAAAGCACCAAACGAACACAUAAUAGGACAUGUGUUAGAAUGAAAAAAUGGAGGGUUUACAAGUGGUCUCAUGGAUGAGCUUGAUAAUUUAAAUGACUCACAUAAUGAACGUAUGUGAUGUUUCUCUCCAAUAACAAGCAAAACAUCACUAGCAAUAUGAUGAAUGUCUCCUAAAUCACUUGAAGUAGUCCUAGCAAAUCAAUUAGAAAAAUCACACAUAUUGCUCUAAUGUAAUAUUAUAUACAUCUGUCAAUGAAUGGGAGAACUAAUGACACAACCAUCAUGUUGAUAUCUCGAACCCUCUAAUCUCAUAUGUAGGUGGGAUCACACUUAGAAACUCAUAACACAGUAAUGACCAAUCUAAGUCAAAAUGUGUUGGUGAUCGGAGGCCCAUGAAUAUGAAGUUCUAGGAUGAUAAUGACAUCUUAUAAAGUAAUGAUCAUCUCCUUAAUAGAUAGGUGAAAUGUGUGUGUCUUAGGACACCAUCUCUCAACAAGACUUGUGAUCAAUCCCCAGUCUAGUGUAACAUGCCUAUUAUGACAUCCAUCGUAAAAUCUAGACUAGAUAAUAUAAGGACAAAUGUGAGGGUUCAUCUCCCUUUCCCACAUAAAUUUAAAAAAUUAUUAUUGACAAGUUAAGACCAAACUAAGUUGCAAAAUAUAAAUAAGUCCAUUAGAUAACAAAUUUAUGUUUUCUCAUUUUCUCAUUUUUAAAGAGAUAUUAUGUGCUUCCAUGUACAUACAUGCUAAAGUCAAUUAUACGAGACUUAUAUCCAUCUUGUAGAACCAAAUCGAACCUAUCUAAUAGAUCCAGAUUAGAAGUAUGUCCUCUAUACUCCAUAUUUAUAACACAUUUAUAAAGAUAAAUGCUAAAAAAAUGUUAAAGAUAUAAAUUUAAUGAACCAUACUUUAUGAUUUUAAUUCUCAAUUAUUGUUCAUAUUUAUAAGAGAAAAGUUAAAAAAAUUGAUAGAGUUUUCCCUCUAUCAUGGACAUUAUCCCAAAUAAAAAUAAAUUGAUUAUGCAAAUUACAUUAAUAUUUGUAACCAAAUGAUCAAUAACUAUCUUGUAUCAAUUUAGUAAAUAAAUUUAAGUAUAUCUUUUCAUUUAUGACUAACAAAUAACUCAUACUUGUCCAAUAAAAGCCACACCUAAUUUCUAAAAUUUUGUCUUCACCUCAAGUGAGUGUUACAUUGAGAAAGAAAAAAUAUGAAAGAAAAAAUGAACACCUUUUUCUUUUAAUAAAAAAAGGCCAUAACGAAACAUUAAAUCUCACUGUUACACCUAUCUUCAAUGGAAACAUGAGGAUGUGAAUGGUGGCGGUGAUAUUCUUUGCUUGAAGCUCAUAAACAAAUAUUCCUUACUAAGCCUAUGCCAUUUAGUAUUUCAAUAGUGGACCCCCCCCCCCCCCCCCCCCCCCUCCUUGCAUUUCAGAUUUAGCAAACUUAGAACCAAAUAACAAAGUGCAUUUGAACCCAUAAAGAAGUAAUGAGACUCUCCUAUAUUGGCAAUAGAAGAAAUUUUUGGAGGUAUAGGAGAUUCACGGAUGAAGAAGUUGGGCCCCAAUUGAGAUAAGACCCAAGAAAAGAUGGGGUAGAGAGGGAUGGUUGGAAAUUGUAAAGUAAGAUUUUCAAAAUGUAGUUGAUGACUAAGAUUUUGACAAUUUAAAAAAGGUUUAAAAAUGUAGUUAGCAAUCGGGGUUUUGUAACAUUUAAAAAAUAAAAUAAAAUCUCAGGCCACAUGGUAGCCCAUGUGAUUCAGAAGCUUGAGAAUUAUUUUAUAAGAAGACUUAAUUUGUGAUUUUUUUAUAACUAUAUUAUUUUUUUUCUUAACACACGAAAAAAAUUAUGAAAUAAGACAAUUUUCCUAAGAAAGCAUGUAAGUGACUCUUGGUUAUUUUAUUUAACUUCUUCUAGUUUGGAGAGGAUUAAUACCUUUGCUUUUACUCACUUGCUUGGAUAUGUACACGUUGUUCAUGUCACUUUUCAUUUAAUUUUCUGAUUAAGGGAAUUGGAACCGUACGUAACUGUCUUUAUUCCCUCUGAAACUUGGACUUGGAGUUGGACUUUCAAUCUCAUCAGUCGUGUUUCCAUAAAAAAGAAGAUGGAUUAACCAAUUUUCCUAUGCCUACUAAUCAUACACAAAACUCCACUUCCAAAUAAAAAGGAAUGGGAUAUCACUUGUUAAUAGUGGCUAAAGACUAUUAAUAACCAUGCAAAGAAAUGUCACAUUUUUUGUUCUACGCAAAUUUUAUUCAUCAACUACUAGAACCAUUUCAUACAAUAGUAGCUUUUCGAUCCUUUGAUAAAUGGACACUUGAUGUGAUAACACCAACUACACCUAUAUAUUCAAGCAAUCAUGCGUAUAUAAUAGUGGAUAUGGAUUACUUCUCUAAAUGGGCAAAAGUUUUGUCAUUCAAGGAAAGUGAACGAGGAAACACAAGUUUACUUUCAUCGGAACUAAUAUUAUAUAUUGAUAUGACUUCCCAUUAUUACUUACGAUGGAAUAUGCUUCCAUAAAAUGGCCUAGAUGAACAAACUAUCCAAGAAGUUUGGGAUCAAAUAAUAUAUAUAUAGUUCAUGUGUGAUUCUUUGGUUGACAACCUUGUUAAGGGGUGAGUGAAGCACUUUGGGCAUACCACAUACUACAUGCUAGACUUCCACCCAAGCUACCCUAUAUUCCUUAUGAACAAAGUAGAAGUUGUCAUCUCUCUUGAAUACCAAAUCCUUUCACCUAAUAAUGCUAUCUAAAAAGGUCUUAAAAAGGAUAAAAAUGCGCAUAUUUGAAUUUUUGAAUUAGGAGUGCUACUUAAAAAGAAGCUAGAUAUACAAUAAUAGAAUGUUAUCAAGCAUAUCUCUUCAAAGUUUUUGACCAAAAAAUAUAUGAUUUCUCAUUUUAGGUAGGAGACUUAGUACUCACUAUUCAAAAACCAAUUAUCAUUACUCAUAAAAACUAAUAGAAAGUUUGGGCCAAAGUAGGAUGGACCUUAUAUUAUGCAACAAUUAUGCCUAUAAAAUUGUUGCAAAAGAGGUUUUAGAAUCAAAUCAAUGAAUGAAAAAUUAUUAAAGCAUUACUAUGCUUGAAGGCUAGUCAUUUUCCCUUAAAGUGCAAUAUUAAGUUGCAUAGUACUAUGUGGAUCCGCAUUUUUCACAUGCGUUCCCACUCAUUGUCGAGACUCACUUUUUAGAAGUGAAAAAUUAGUUUUAUUAAAGUCGAAGUUGCCACUGGGGAUUUGAACCCUAACAAAAGGUUCAAUUUAAGGAUAAAAAUAUCGAUAAUCACAUAUAUAUAUAUUGGUACUUUGAUUUUAUGAAUAUAUUGAAGAAAUAUGGACAAAUAUUUUGACACAAAAUAUGUACAAAAUAAAAAUUAUAUAAAAAGUAAAAAUAAAUAUUUUAAAAUUAUUUUUUUAAAUAUAUAUAUAUAUAAUUUGACAUAUUUGAUAAUAAUAUAUAAGGGUCUCCAAAAAGCCCGUGGCCCGCUUUAGGCCCGGUCCGACCCGACAGGCUAAAGCCCGGCCCAAGCCCGCCGGGCCCAAGCUCGGCCCGAGCCCGUUUAUGGGUGGGCCGGGCCGCGAGCCCGUAGGCCUGCUCCUUUAAAAAAAAACUACAAAAAUAAAAAGUAUUAAAAAAAAUAUUCAUUUCAAAAUUUUAUUCAUUGAAUGUAUAAUUACAUUUGAAAAUGUGGGAAAAGUUUACAUCACUACAAAAUAAAUACAUCCCAACUAGGUUGGCACCUAUUUAUUUGUCAAUCAUCUGUAUUUUUCAACCACAAAAAAUAAAAAUAAAAAUAUAAUAUACAUUUAGUCAUUAUUUUCUGGCGGUGAUGGCGAACUAUCAUGCAUCCAUGAAGAUCUUGAUAAUUUUAAAGAUUCCAUAUCGGUAAGCAUCUUUGUUUCUCGAAUGGAAUCAUACAUCCUUUUAUCUGCUAUUUCCCAAUCUUUCACACAUAUCCCUGCUUUAAUAACAUCUGACGCUAAGUUGCAUCGUUUUUUACUAACUACUCUUCCACCUGCACUAAAAGCAGCUUCUGAUGCAACUGUACUCACAGGAACUGUUAGUACAUCACGAGCAAUUAUAGAAAGCACAGGAUAUUUGUGUUGAUGUGAUUUCCACCAUAUUAAAAUAUUAAAAUCUUCUUGAUCUUCAAAUGAAAUUAUAUCAGUAUUAAGAUAUUUAUCUAAAUCAGAUGUAUUAUUUGGAGAAUUAUUUGUUGUCUUUUUUCGACUUUUCAACAUUUCUAGAGCUCCUUUAUAAAAAGAUGAGGAGUUUGUAGAUGUAGGUGGUAAUUUAAUAGUAUUAAUAUCAUUACCAUAUUUUUCUUUAUAAUAGUUAUAUAAAUUAUAUAAUAAUGAAUUUAUUUCAUUUUUAAUUUCUUCAAUUUUUAUUUGGUCAUUAAAAUAAAUAAUUGUUAACCAUUCAUCCAAAGCUUCAAAUUUCAAUCUAGGGUCCACAAUUAAAGCAAUAUAAAAAAUUAAAGGUAUUUCUCCCCAAUAUUUUCUAAAUUUUUAUAUCAUUACAAAUAUUGUAUCAUUAAAUAUUUCAAAACUUAAAUAUUUUUGAAGUACAAUAAAAAUAUUAGUUAUUUGCGUAAUAACUCGAUUUGAAGUUGGAUAAUAUACACCACAAAAAAUGUUUGUUGAAGUAUCAAAAAUUUCAAAAAGAUCUCUUAAAACAUCCGCAAUAUGCCAAUCAUAAUCAUUUAAUGCAUAAAUAUCUGCUUCAUAAUCAUUGUUAAUUAAUUGUAUUUCAUAUAAUUCGACUACUUUUCUAUAUUUUGUAAUAUUUUCUAAAAGUUUAUAUGUGGAAUUCCAUCUAAUAGCCAUAUCCAAAUUUAUAUUUUUUCUUUUCAUAUUUAACAUUUUGCAACAAUCAAAAAAUAAUUCAUGUUUUGCUUGAAAACUAUUAAUACUAUAUGCAAUGCCUCUAAUUUUUUUCCAAUGUACUAUCAACAUUUUUUAAUCCAUCCUUUACAAUUAAAUUUAAAAUAUGUGCACAACAACGCACAUGAAAUAUUUUAGCAUGAUCUUCUUUUACUUGCCAAUAUCGUUUUAGUCUAUGUAUUGCUGCAUCAUUAUUAGCAGCAUUAUCUAAUGUUAUUGUCAAUAUUUUAUCACGAAUGCCUAAAUCUAUAAUUUCAUCAUUUAUUAAAGAUGCUAUAUUUUUACCACUAUGUGGAGUAUUUAUUAAUUUAAAUAAAAUUAUUCUUUUAUUUAAUUUCCAUUCAUUAUCAAUGUAGUGAACAAUUAUAUAUAAAAAACCAGUAUGAGUUAAAGAUGUCCAAAUGUCAGAUGUUAAACGAAUAUUUCCUUCAAAAUUUGCAAAAUUUUUUUUUAAAAUUUCUUUUUGUGUAUAAAUUUUUUUCAUAAUAUCUCUUUUAACUGUAUUUCCAGAUCAACCUUUAAAUUGAGGAUUAAUACCUCGUUGAAUUGUUCUUGCAAAAUCAUGAGUUUCCAUCAUGUUGAAAGGUUGUUCUGCUCUUAUUAUAUAAUCAAUCAUUUCUUCACAACAGUUAGAUUCAUCAUAAGAAAAUGUUUUUAAAUUUCCACUUUCAUUUUUACUUAAUUGCAUAUAAUUUCUAAUAUCUACAUUAUUUUUAGUUUUACAAUUUUCAUGAUGUCUUUUUAAAUGACUUGUAUCUGCAUUUGAGCCACCAGUAAGAAAUUUAUUACAAAUUUUACAUUUUGCUUUUAUUUUUUUUUUAUUAUUUUCUAAAAUUAUUUCUAUUCUAUCAAAAAAAUUCCAUAUAUUUAAAGUAAAUUUUUUGUUUGAUGAUAUUUCAUCACAUGGACUAGACGAAGAAGCACUUGUCAUAUUAUAAUUAUUGAUAAAAUAUUAUGCCAAAAAUAAUAAAGUAAUAAAUAUAAAAAAAAAUGUAACAAAAAAAAUAAAGUAGUAGGGGUGAAGUAUGUUACUCAAUUAGAGAACCUAUGCAGAAAUUCCUAGCAAAUUUGAACUCUUGGAGCCACCAAUGCUUGUUUUGCACCAUCAACAAUAUUGUAUAAUUUGAGGGAAAAAUAAAAGAAUUUAAAAUAUUGUAGAAUGUGAGAGAAAUAGAGAGAAUUUGAUGAAAAAAUGAAAAGGAAGAAAAUGUAUUUAUAGGAAGGUUAAAAAUAAUAAUAAUAAUAAUAAUAAUAAUAAUAAUAAUAAUAAUAAUAAUAAUAAUAAUAAUAAUUGGCCAUGUGACCGUUGGAGGCUUAGCUCCAACGGUCACAUGGGCUGGAGCUAGGCUCCAACAGUCACAUGACCGUUGGAGCCUUUAAUUUUUUUUUUUAAAAUAAUAUACUUUAUUUUUAUAUAUAUAUAACUAACUCAAUUAAUAAACAUAAAAAGAAUAUAGUUCAGUUGGUUAGAACCUUGAAGUUUAAACAUGAGGGGAGGGGUUUGAAUCCCUCCCUCUCCCUUAGGGGCUUUUUUAAAAGCCAUUUUGGCUUAUUUCAAAAAGCCUGUCGGCCCGACCCGCCCUGCAGCCCGCGGGCCUAGCAUUUUAGCAUGGCCUGGUCUGUUGACUAGUCAAAUGGCUCAUAGGCUCGGCCCGAACUGGGCCGCGGGCCUCUUAUUUACGGACCGGCCCGACCCGGCCCGCCCGUUGGAGACCCUUGAUAAUAUCUUCUAUAUUAAGUUACAUUAUAGUUUAUUUUACAAUAUUAUUAUGAUAAUAUGUCUAAUUUUAAAAUAUAUUUAAUAUUAAAAUUAUGAUCUAUUUUAAUUUAAAUGUAUUCAAUGAUAUCAAAUAAAUAAUAAUAUAUGUAUAAUUCUUUUAUUAUUUAUAUUUAUUAUUUUUAAUAAAUAUAUAGAUUAUAUAAAAAAGACCGGAUAUAUCUUUUCAAAUUUUGUAUCGCUCUCCAAGGAUAUUAGAUGUAUGGGAAUUUGUAUUGCUAUCUACGGAUACGUUGAUAUAUGGGUGAUUUAUCAGGAUAAUUAGAAAUUCUAAUUAUGUAAGCAGGUACGGAGUUCUGUGUCGGUGCGAUCUUGUCGACAACAGCUCCAAAUUGUGCAUCUUGCUCAUAGAGAGUAGCGGAAUGCACCAAUCGUAGGCUCAGAGUACCACUGAGUCGUCUGGCAGAGACCCAACUGAAGGUGCCUGUGUUGUUCCUGAUCUGAUCAGGCUUCAAACUACAAGGUGGAAUACUGGUUCCCCUAUAUCAGAAGCUGGAGAUACCCACCCCAUAUGCUCGUCUGGAUGUGCUCCUACCCUUUGAAGCCUUCUUCCGAGUCAAGUCCGAAUUGAUAAGGCUAGUGAGUUCCCAACCAACUGUACUCAGCAUGCUGCCAGGUGGAGACCCUCCAUAUUUGAUGGCUUCCUAAUAUUAAAAUGCUGACCACUGGUCUUCAUGUUCCACAGGCUUAAUUGUGUCCUUUGCUGAAAGAAUGGAUAGUGAUCCAUUUUAACACAUGAUUCACGCCGUCUUUGCCAUUCUUCAUGGUCUAGCCCUUUUAUAUAUAUGCUUCCUGAACUGUUGCUAUUAAUAAAAUGUGGUAUCUAUCCCGUACACCUUCCUGAUGGCCAGCGAAUGCAGAAGCUACAGAAACGGUUCCAUCUUUUGCUUCCGCCACUUUGGCAUCCUCCAUGAUGAGAUCGAAGGUGAAUAAUCAUAUUCUGGGGAUUUAUGUCCUGGAUAUUCUCAGUAAUGCCCAAUUUCCUGGUGCCGGCCUCAUUUCCAUGGGAACUGAUGGAUAACUUAAGGCUUCUACCAUCUGCGUGGUUCGCUUCUAACACAGGAAACUUCACGGCUAAAAGCAAGAUACCAAGAACAUCAAGGCUGUGACAAAAAUUAGUAUUUUUAACUUGUAGGAAUUUGAAAGGCAACCAACCAUCUAGCUCUGUUCUUAAAGCUCCCAUAGGAGGAUCAGAGGCUGGAUUGCUCAAGAUGAACUCAUCCAUUGUUGCACUUAAAAAGAAUUGGCAUGAAUUGUGGCCGCUCUAAUAGGUUCCCUAAACCAUCAUCCAAGUGGGCUUGCGGAAGGUAGCGAGUUUAAAACACCUAGGGCGAUGAACAGUGGACUGUGAUGCUCACAAAAGAGAAAAGGAAGAAUUCAAUAAUUCCUAAGAAUCCAUUUGCCUGUCAUCCAAAUUUUUAUAUUCUCUUCAGUCUGACGCGUUAUGCCAUAUAUUAAAAAUAGCGGCUUCUUCCAAGCCGAGACAGACUGUGCAAAGUUCGCAAGGCCAAUCAUCACCAUAAUCUGAAGUUGGCCUCCUCAAUCGCAGCUUGUAUCCGAAUGCUCACUUCACGGGAUGGAUUGUAAUGAAAACUAAUCUCAGUCCCAGCUAUGGCAGCAUCCUCACUUGACAGCAUUUUCUGCAUAUUCUAGAACAAAGCAAUAAACCCUCAAAGGCUCCUUCGGAUCAGAGUUAGAAGACUGUCCCUCAGGAACGUGAACACUAUGGUGGUUCUGAUAAGCAGUGAUAUUGCAUUAGAGCCUUUUGGAACAAGAGGAUCUUUUCAGGUGGAAACUGUAAACUGCUUCAUGUUGGGCUGCAACCUUUUCUUCAAGCAAUACUUUCUUUCUGUAUCACGACUUAUGUUGCUUCCGGAGCCAUCCCGUGUGGACUGCCCUUCAGUGAAAGAAUAUGUGUGUUGACAUGUUGGAUUGUAAUCUUUGUUCCACUCUAAUGGCUUUUGGUCCUCCUCUUUCUCUUUAUGACAGAGAACCAUUUAGUGAUCCAUCUCUAUAUUGUAGCAUUGCUGGUGCUUUGCAAUACUACACUCUCACCAAGCAUAACAUCUAUUUUUCCGUGACCAAAGUAUGUCGGUUUAUGCAUGCGCAAACUCUUAUUCAUUGGCAAGUUGUCAAGCGUAUCUCAUGAUUUCCCAAAGCCACAAGUUCUUAUGGUCUUUCUGUUCAAGCUUACAAUGAUCUAUCUUUUCUUGGUUAUACUGAUGUCGAUUGGGCUAGUUGCCCUGAUAACAAGCACAAUACUAGUGGGUACAACACUUUUCCUGGUCCUAAUCUCAUUUCAUGGGCAUUUUCAAAGCAGAAGGUUGUGUCUCACUCCAAUAACGAAUCUGAAUAUAGGGGACUCACUAAUUAAUGUUGUUGCCAAGGUCACUUGGAUUGAAUCUGUCUUACGUGAGUUGCGUGUUUCUCUACCCCAACCACCAAUUUUGUUGUGUGACAACAUUAGUGCUACACACUUGGACAAACCAUGUUGAAAUACACUAUCAUUUUAUCCAUGAAAGGCUUAUGCAUCACACACUCAAAAUUCAAUACACCUCUUCUAUAGACCAACUAGUCAAUGCUAUGACCAAAGCUCUUCCUUCAUCUCACUUGUACAAUCUUCAGUGCAAGCUGAUUGUUCUUCCCAAACCACUCAACUUGAGGGGAGAUGUUAAGCCAAUUUAAUAAAUUGAUUUCUUUUGGUUAAUUUGUUAGAAUCAUUUUUAUUAGAGGUUUGUUUGUACAAUUACAUCCAUUUAUCAGGAGAGUACACGUGUACAACUCCUCUUUUAAUCUCACCAUUGUAUAUAUAUGAUACACGACCUUACUCAGAAUUGCAUAACAUUUCCUCUGCUCAUUCCUUUUCUUCUUUGAAUUUUCCCUUACCUCACUGAUUUUGAUUUAUACCUGGUGUUUUCACCUUUGGUCUCUACCUUUCUAGCCAGUUUUCUAAUUAAUCCGUAUAUGGUAUACCUGUCAACUAAUGAGGAGAAAGAGAAAAGGGGAUUGCUGUUCCACCAGCUACAUAUAAUAAUUAAUUACAAUCAUGGUAAUGGAUCCUGAAAUCCAUCCUUUGUGGAUUUUGUACGGAAUAUUGUUGUUAUGUAUGUGGGCUCACUUAGAUGUAUAUUGCUAGCCUGUCUGGGAAAUGUGAUUGCAGGUCCAGAUUAUGAUGUUGAUAUUAGUGGGAUAAGCAAGAGAUGCAGUUAACACGUAUGUGAUGGACUUGAGUAACUUUUCCAUUUCAGUCCAUUUUUUAAGAUUAUGCUUAGUCUUAUUACAAGGAAAGACCAUAAGAAUCAUGAGUCAUUGGCAAGGUAAUAUCAUUCCCUCUUUACAGGCUUCUUCACCUUUUGGUUUUUUUAAUAUCCAUCAAGAUCUUUUAAUU
rnacentral:lncRNA from 1 species